UACGUAGGGGGCAAGCGUUGUCCGGAAUCAUUGGGCGUAAAGCGCGUGUAGGCGGUCCGGUAAGUCCGCUGUGAAAGUCGGGGGCUUAACCCUCGGAUGCCGGUGGAUACUGUCGGGCUUGAGUACGGAAGAGGCGAGUGGAAUUCCUGGUGUAGCGGUGAAAUGCGCAGAUAUCAGGAGGAACACCGGUGGCGAAGGCGGGACUCUGGGCCGAUACUGACGCUGAGGAGCGAAAGCGUGGGGAGCAAACAGG
rnacentral:rRNA from 1 species